GGAGCAUCAUUUACUCCAUCACCAGUCAUUCCACAUAUAUGUUUCCUAGCUUGCAAACGUUUGACGAUCUCGUACUUGUGCUCAGGGAAAACACCAGCAAAUCCAUCAGCCUUUUCAAUAAGUUCGUCAACGGGCAAAGCAGCUAUUGACUCAUCCUUGUUCUGUCCUAACAAGGCUGAUGAAGGAUACAUGUUGGUUCCCAUUCCGAGACGCCGUCCUGUUUCUUUUGCUAUUGCCAGUUGAUCACCUGUGAUCAUUUUCACAUUUACCCCGAGAUUCAAUGCCCUCCGAAUAGUCUCUGCACUAUCAUGUCUAGGUGGAUCAAACAGAGGCAUGAGGGCAAUAAAUUGCCAUGGACCUCCUAAGCUUUCCUUUCUACCUUCAGGAACUUCCUGGUAUGCCACUGCAAGAGAUCGCAAACCCCGUUCCGCAAACUUAUCAAUCACUGCAUGAACCCUACGUUCUAUCUCUGAUUUGUUGCGUACGAGAUUCAGAAUCUGCUCAGGCGCACCUUUGCUGACGCGAUGCAUUUUGCCUUCACUAUCAAUAUA
rnacentral:misc_RNA from 1 species